rnacentral:lncRNA from 1 species
UGGAGGUCAGGCACGCAGGCGGAUGAACUCAGGUUUCUCUAGAAUAUCAUUUCAGAGGCUUAAAUGCCUCCCACCCUCUCGCUGUCAGCGGACAGGGCAUGUGGAACUGUUAAACGUUAAAACUCUCUGCUCUGGGGCCCAGCCCGUGCUCUCUAAAUAAAGGUAGGAGCGGAAAGAGUGUUGUUGCCAUCAUGAAAUCACACUUCACAGGAGCCAGAUUUCGGCGAUUCUGUGUCUAAGAGAAAAUGCUAAUCCAAACAAGGGCAGGUUGGAGAAGAGCCUGGGAUUUCUAUGCCCUAGAAACUGCACUCUCCACCCUUGCAGCCCAGAAACACAAACACACACACACUUGUUCUCCACGCCUGCCUUCCGAGUGGCCAGAGCUGGGGGAAGUCUGGAGAGCCCUCGGAAACGCCGUCCUUUCAGAAUCAGCGCUGGCCCUUCCCCAGGUGAUGAGAGAAGAGAGCGAGGAGGACCAAAGCGGAAGCGGAUAGAGCCAUUCUUUUCGGGGCAAAUGGCCACACAAGCCUUCCUGAAGAUUCCCUUCUUACUUUGGAUAGGGUCUCCCUCUGUUGCCCAGGCUGGAAUACAGUGUUGUGAUCUUGGCUCACUGCAGCCUUAACCUCCCAGGCUCAAGUGAUCCUCCCAUCUCAGCCUCCUGCGUAGCUGGGACUACAGGACACAGGACUGUUCAGAGAAGCUGUCUUUCUGUGCAUUUGUUGGUUGCUAGGGA